rnacentral:tRNA from 1 species
AGUUGAUUUAGUUUAUUUAUAGAAAAAUGCUGUUUUGUGGAAGCAGAGAAAAUUUUGAGUUAAUCAGUUU